UCUCUUAACGAUGCCGUGACCAUCAGAAAGCCAGCCCCUGCAGCCAGACUUGUGUCAGCGAGCUGUUUGCCAGCCGUGCGGGCAGGCUUAGUGCAUAGGUCAUGUGGCAUGGACGCGAAUUUAGCGCGCUUGGAAACUGAGCUAAGCCUGGGAGCUGUACGCCAAACAGCCUGCGUCAUCUGCACUGCACCAGGAUCGCAGGCACUUAGUGCAUCCCUUGCUGGUGGCAGCCUGCCUCUGAUGAAACACACGUGAGGGCUGGUUGGGAGCACACACCUCUGUGCAGAGAAGGAUCACCUCUGCCUCCAGCCCCUCCUGAGGCCCCUCUGCCGCCCAGCGAGGGCUCACAGAGGUGGCUGAUCCGAGACCUGAAUGAUGAGGGGGAAGGAAAAGCUUUAAAAAAUAAAGGAAAAUGAAGAAUAAAG